rnacentral:lncRNA from 1 species
CAAUCUGUUUGCCUCUCAUUUUCCUCCUACUGAAAAUCCCCAGCUCCUCUGACAGGAGGUCUUUUAUUUGGCCUCCAAUUUCCCUGUCUGCUCUCUUCUCAAAAACCCAUGCAGAAGCCAGGGAAACUGAGCGUUGGCGUAGGGUCUGAGUCCUGAUCUGUUUAUCACAACUGGCCACUGUUUCUCUGUCCUCUCUCCUGGUUUCCAGUUCCAGAUUUGUCUGAAGUUUUCAGAGGUGGUAAGUCCACCUCAGGUCCCUGCCAUGUCCUCCCUGACUCAUCAGUCACAGAAGAGGAAAACACCUACAAAGUUCUCUGGUCCAGACUCUCAUAUGUGGGCUUCUGUGGA